AAGCGGAGGAGCAUGUGGUUUAAUUCGAUGAUACGCGAGGAACCUUACCUGGGCUCGAACGUAAGAUGACUGUAGGUGAAAGCUUACAUCUCUUCGGAGCAUUUUACGAGGUGCUGCAUGGUUGUCGUCAGCUCGUGCCGUGAGGUGUCGGGUUAAGUCCCAUAACGAGCGCAACCCCUACCUUUAGUUGCCAUCAGGUAAUGCUGGGGACUCUAAAGGAACUGCCUACGCAAGUAGUGAGGAAGGCGGGGAUGACGUCAAAUCAGCACGGCCCUUACGUCCAGGGCUACACACGUGCUACAAUGGCCGAUACAGAGGGCAGCUACCUGGUGACAGGAUGCUAAUCUCAAAAGCCGGUCUCAGUUCGGAUCGGAGUCUGCAACCCGACUCCGUGAAGUUGGAUUCGCUAGUAAUCGCGCAUCAGCCAUGGCGCGGUGAAUACGUUCCCGGGCCUU
rnacentral:rRNA from 1 species